AUACAAAGCGGUUAUUUUCCCAUGAAUCUUCGAAUUCAAUUCCAAUAACCACCCACUCUGUUUGCCUCUUUGCAUUAUUCGUUCAUGUACAAGACUGAAUACAUAGCGGUUUCCAAAUUGGCACAGUAUCUUUAUUAAUAUGCAAAGAAAGCUACUAUGACAAACAACAACAUGUAGACACACAUUCAAGGGUUCUUCAGACAAUGUGCAGGAGUACAGCAGACAUCAUGGUUUCAUUCUUUCUUCUUCACCACAAGAACUGGGCACUUUGCAUGGUGGCUACAGUAGUUGCUCACACUGCCAAGGAAAAACCUGCAGUAACAAUAGCAGAGCGAUCACAUCAGUUGGAGAUGAGAACAUUGUACUCCCAACGACUUGUAAUAAAUCAGCGACAGUUAAAAUGGAUCGGAGGGAGUAACAUCUUGUCAAAUGUGUCUCAGAGGUGCAUGUAAAUAUGUGAUGGCUGAUGAGUACUUGAUUUAUGCUAAGAAGUUAGCACUAAUCAUGUUCUUAUUUUGUUGGUUAAGUACAUAUAGUUUUCUUUUUAAACAAGCAAGUACAAGAUAGUUUAAGUUCUGCGUGUUGCCAACAAUCUACCUCUGAGCUGGGUAUGACAAUUUAGUUGUACAAGGUACGCAAAGUAUGAAUAACGACAGUACACCAAGAACAACAUGGAACUCAGGUGAUAUGUUUUCUUUUUCAAAAAGGAGGCUUUUACCCCAACUCAGGUGAUAUGUAGGCAAUCACUUAAGAAGGUGAGCAUAACACACCAAAAAGAUAAAUCAGGCUAUAACCAAGUAUUUAUUUUUUCGGACAAUGUGUGGAUUUUAUUAACUCAAAAUGGAGCAUCACGGGGAUAAUCAAGUAUUUAGCUUGCACAAAUGCUAGAGUGCUUAGAGCUGAGUUCAGAUGUGAGAUUCAACAACACAUGCCCAACAUAACAAAAAACAUUGUUGUUGUAGAGGCAGUUUUCAUCGUGAGAUGUGCAAGGUCAUCUGAAUGAGGUAUGUCUUACCUCGCACAGUGCUACGAUCCUUAGAGGUGAGUUCAACAUUUAACAACACAUGUUGUACAUAAGAAAAGACAGUAGUUCUAGAGGUGCUCCUGGGUUUCAUAUCUUUUGUUAUGUAAACGGUAGCUUUUGAGAACAAUUUUUUGUCCCCCGUCAAUUUAGGUGUCCGUCCCAUUGCAGGACAUAAGAAGAACAUCAUCGACAGGGAAUGCAUUUCACUACAAAAACGAUGAAAGAGGACAACAUUGACUAACUGAUUUAGUACAGAGCACUACAGAGUAACACAUUUCCAGAACUCAAAAUAAAAUCCGGAUGAGCAGAAAAGGACGAUAAUUGCUACCUCUGUAUAGGCCCUCGGCUGUGGCUUCCCAGGAUGAGCAGAUCAACAUUCAACUUCUCCG
rnacentral:lncRNA from 1 species